GUUGCUUGAACCCAGGAGGCAGAGAUUUCAGGGAGCCGAGAUUGUGCCACGGUAAUCCAGCCUGGGCACCACAGUGAGACUGUCUCAAAAAAGUAAAUAAACAAGUAAAAAAUAAAAUCCAUCCUAUAUCAGUCAGGAAAGAGCUCAUUCCAGCAGGAUCAAUGCAGAGAAUUCACCAGAGGAACUAGUUCCAAAGGUAUGGCAAGAGCUAAAUCUUCCAACAGGGGCCCGUGGGGCAACCAAGAGACGAACAAGAGCAGGAAACUCCAAACUCUUCGGCGGGCAGGACAGAGGGUGUGAGUGAGGGUUCCAGUGCUGUGGGCUGGACCAGCCUGGUAGGAAUGAGAAUUCAUAUGCUAGGAGAUGGGGCCCCAGAGAAGCAGCUGCUGUGGAAACCCCAGGAGGCACAGUGAGGGAGAGACGCUGGCCUCCCCUUCUUCCCACCCUGCACUGUCUCCCAUGGGUCACAUGUGGCUGCAGCCAGUUGCCUGGGGAGGCCUCUGCCAUGCUGGGGUUUGCAAAGCAGGCCCAGGGCCUGGGAAGGACGGGGUCUGCAGCAAGCCGGUGGGUAUGCUGUCCAGCUACUGGGUGGACACUGCCCAUAACUGACCUUCUUGAUGAGUUCUGAGAGAAAGCACCGGGCACACGUGACUGACGGUGGGUGCUUCACACACACAGGAUGCUUCACAGUCUACAGCAAAGGACAGAACGUUGGUUGCUCGAGAGCCCGUCUUAAGUCUCCUAUGAGCUUCAAGCCAACACAGCAGAGGGCAAACUCCAGGCUACCCGAUCCCUCGGCAAAGAUGCAGAUGGACACAGCGUUCUGACCCCAUGCAUCUGAAGUUCGUCUUAAGAUAUAAGCCGUUUCUUAAAAAUGCUUCCACUGCAGUGGCACAGGCUAUGGCAGCAUUUCUAAUGCCCAUUCUGAGCAGGAACACAGGGCAUGUGGGCCCAAACCACCUCCCUCCCAGGGGAGCCAGUGUGAACCAGGGUUUGCAGUAAGGACAGUCGCCAACUCUCUGGCUUUAUGGAAGAGGCGGGAAGGCGCACUCAGCGACUGCUCUCUUGGAUCGUGUGUCCCUGGGGACAGGAUGGAGGGGAGGGGACGCUCAGGGUGACUCCAGCUAAAGCCGAGAGAAGGCAAGUGCAGGAUGAGCAAGUUCCAGGCAGUGGGAACAGCCUGUGCAAGCUCUGAGGUGGCCACGGGCUGGCACUUGGAAAGGAGGGCAGAGGGACUGGUGCAGCAGGAGUGGGGACAGUGGGAAAACAGGAGCCUGGAGGGAGAGGGAGGAGACGGUCCGCAGCGCCUGCUGGCUGGGAGGGAUGCAGAUUCUGCCCAAGGGCAGCAAAGUACCCCACGCCAUACACAGGCUCUUCAUGCUGGUGCUGAUUUUUCAUUUUUUGUGACACAGUCUCGCUCUGUUGCCCAGGCUGGAGUGCAGUGGCCCGAUCUUGGCUCACUGCAGCCCCCGCUUCCUGGGUUCCAGUGAUUCUCCUGCCUCAGCCUCCUGAGUAGCUGGGACUAUAGGCGUGCACCACCACGCCCAGCUAAUUUUUUUAUUUUUAGUAGAGAUGGGUUUUUGCCAUGUUGGCUAGGCUGGUCUUGAACUACUGACCUUAGGUGAUCCGUCCACCUCAGCCUCCCAAAGACCUGGGAUUACAGGUGUGAGCCAGUGCACCCAGCCUUGUGCUGGGUUUUAAAGCAGCUCUCCCUACAUCUCAUGCUUCACCACCUACCAGAGUGAGGCUCAGGGUGAAACUCAGAGCAAGGUGCAAGACAACUUCAGGUAUCUCCAUGCUCGAAGCCCUGACCUACUGUAUUGCCCCGAAAGUCUUCCCUGCUGUGGCUGCAUCUUUUCCACGUGGAUAAUCUUGGUUCACCUCUAGCACAGGAAUUGUUCACCGGGGCUCCUAGGAUGGGCUGGGUGGGUGGGGGUGGAGGAUGUCUGCCUCCCCUGAGUUUGUAUGGAAAAUGUAUUCUUCUGGUGCACUUCUUUCUGGGAGGGAGUCUAUUGCUUUGUCUUUUCAGAAGGGCUCAUGGCCCUUCGAAGGUGAAGACCCAGGAUGCAGGGUGAUCUGCACUUGGCUCUCAAGGCCAAGGUCAGGCUGUGGCUGGGCUGGGUGGUGAUCCUGGCUCUCACCUGCAUGCAGAUGCACUUGAGUCCAAACCCCACCGUGGGCAAAGCAAGGGCCCAUUUAGGUCUAGAAGAGACAGGAGUGGGCAGGACAGGCCUCAUGAAUGCAAAAAAGAAAGUCUCUGAGCAUCUACCAAAUGCUAGAAGCUGUUUUGCACCUGUCAUCUCUGUUUUUGCUGAGGAUGGUUUAAAAAACAUUCCCUAGAUUUCCCCCCUCUUGCAGAUUUUUGUAUAUUCUGAUGUCUUUGUCUAAGUCUUAGAUAGAAAAUGAAAGCGCAGGAGCUGUCGGAGGUGCUGACACCCACCUGCAGUGCUGACUCAAUGGUUUUGUUCUUUGAAGAGGGCUGUUUUUAAAGGGUACAAGCACAUCUGUGGUUCUUCUCUCAGGUCUUCCGGAGAGAUUCAGGAGGCAGAGUCAUGAGUCCCAGGGACUCUGGGAUUCUUACCUUCUGCAAAAUAUCCCGCAGCAGCUCAGAAUCUGAUGAGUCUUUUAACUUUGCUUCUAAGCUCAGUGUGGAUGGGAGAGAGAGAAAUCUCAAGGGCGCAUUCACAGGAACAUUAAAACACGCAAUAGAAUGUGUUGGCAAAGCUCUAUGUUAUCCCUCCCUGGGGACGUGGAGCCAGUUGGAAGUGGAAGCCACAGCGGCUGAAAGCCUGACCUUCAGAUAUCGCAGGGUGCACCUGGAUGAGUCACAGGAAGAAGGCUGACUCUUGGCCGCAUGAGUCCUGGCUACUCAGCUGCCACCCAGGUCAUGGGCCAGCUCCCUGGUUGCACUGAUCAGCCAGGAAUUACCAGGGCAGCCAUGGCACCAGGGUUUGAUGGGCUUGCCAUCUGAGUUUAAGUGGAAAUGCAGAAUGUGCCCAUACCAGCCUGGGUUACAUUGUCCUCUUACAGGGGCCUCAAGCCCAGCAGCGAGCUUUGGCUCCUGAGUUAGGCAGACUGUCUCGGCUGGCAUGUGACACACGGCAAGGCACUUCAUUGCUUCAGAGCUCCUUCUAUGCCAUAAAAGGCCCUACAAGACCUGGUGCUAAUCCCUCUCUCUGGCCUGUUCUCCCUCACCCCUGGCCCACCCUGCUCACUCCACUCCAGCCACACUGGCUGCCUUGCUGUUGUUCCUCAACCACAGCUGGCUUGUUUCCACCACAGGGCCUUUGCAUAUCCUGUUCCCCAAACCCUUCCCAUGGCUGGCUGCUUCACCACUCAGGCCCCAGUUCAAAUGCCACCUCUUUGGGGAAGGCUUCCCUGAUUCCCUGACUUUGGUGACUUUUCUCCCCAGUUGCUCCAUUCACCAUUUCCCUGUUUUAUUGGCUUUAAAGCCACUCUCAUCUGGUGUUUUCUUGUUUAUUCAUUUAUUUGUUUAUUCUCUGGCUCUCCCAUGCAAGCAGAGCCUCAUCUAUCAUGGGUACUGCUGAUCCAUGGUGCCUGGCUCAUGGAAGGCAUUUAUUAAACAUUUUGAGACUGAAUAAAACACUAGCUAACACCGACAUGCAUUUACCAUUAGCCGGGCACUGAUCCACAGGCUUUUGUACUCAACGCUGACAACAACCCUAAGAGGUAGGUAUCAUUAUAUCCCCCAUUUUAUUAAUAAGAAAACAAUAGCACAGAGAGAUGCAGUCACUUGCCCAAGGUCACACAGGGCUAGGGGUUGGGCCAGGAUUCGAAGCAGGCUGGCUGUCUCCUGGGUCUGAACUCUCAACUACUUCACCCUAAUCAAACAAUCCCUCUGGUCAAAUGUGAGUGAUAAUAAUAGUACCCACCUCGUGGGUGUUGAGGGUGAGCCCAAGUUAGCAUUCAGUGUGGGCAUGUGAACAACUAUAGUCAAUAUUGAAUGGAGACCUAUGAUGCUUUUAUGAAGGUUUCUAUUUUGGGUUAAAAAUGCACAAAUUUCUCCUGACCAGAAAUGAUCCCUGAGUGCUAAAUAUUUUAUGUCAAUGGAAUAACGCAAAUGAUUAAGCAACACCCCAUAAAAUGGGGCAGACCCAGGGAGGAAUAUAUAUCCAAACUGACUCAUCCCUGUGAGCUCACCGCACAUGAAUAACAAAUGGGGCCGGGUGCAUUAGGCCCCUCUGCUGGCAGAAGGGAGGCUGCUGCCUGCCAUGCGCCUGUGCUGAGAAUGGCAGGUCCCCAGGGAGAGGAGAGGCCACCCCCUUCUCUGUCUCUUCCAUCACAGGCGUGAAAGCCUCAGCGCAUGAGCCAAUUCUGUGCAGUGCUCGACAUACAGAUGAGAACACUGAGGCACAAGGGACAGCCUGUGACCUGGUCACCGCGCUCGGGAGGAGGUGGUUACCCGCGGGCCUGAGGGCACUGACUUUUUAGAAUGGGCGAGCGCAGCUGUGUCCCAGUGACCAGAACGAUUACUGCCUUUAAAAAGUCGUGAAAAUGAUCGUGAACUGUACCCCACACCGAGCGCGCUUCUGCCCCCCAAGGCGGUGGAGACAUCCCCAGCUUCCGCCGCCAGCUCGCGGGGCAGAAGGGGUGCGAGCAACUCUGGCCAGGCCCCAGGGAUGGGAACCGGGUCUGGCGGCCCUGACCGGGGAGAGCCCAGGAACUCACGUGGCCGGAGCGCUGGGGGUUUCAGCACGGAGACCCAUCCCGUCUGCCCCUGGACUCCCGCGAGCCCCGCGGGCCUCUCCGCUCGCCCCGCCGCCCACCUGCCAGGGGAAGGAGCGCAGUGUGCGCGCCGCCAGGAAGCGGCGAUCGAAACCCUGCAGCAAGAGUUCGGUACCCGCGUUCUCCUCGGGCGCCAUGACGUGGGCGGGGCCGCAGCGUUGCCGGGAGACCUGGAGGAAGCCGGGCCUGGACUGAAGAGGGGGCGGGCCCAGGGCAGUGCGCGGGGGCAGAGAGGGGGCGAGGCCUGUGGUAGGGCCAGGAUAAGCGUCGUUGGGGCAGGUCCUGGGUAGACCAGGUUGGCGGAUCCUGGGGCGGGGCCAGGAUAGGGCGAUCCUGGAAGCUGGGCUUCGGAAGCGUCCAGGUUGGUGGCGUCCUGGAGGCGGUGCCUUGCGUGGGGGCAGGAUAAGAGUCCUGGAGGCGGGCAUUAGGGCGGGGAUAAACGCCAUUGGGUUCAGGAGGCGGGACUCAGAGCACAGCCCAGGAGACAGGUCUUAGGGCGGGGCUAAGGCCAGACCCAGAGAAGGGCUCAGGAGGCGGGGCCGGGGCGGGGCGUUGACUAUGUCGUAGCACAUGGCCAGGCGGUGCGCGGACUCUGGGAGGUGAAGCUUAGGACGGGCCCACGUGGGGAGGGGCCCAGGGUCCGGGAGGCGGUGCAGAGUCAGGGCUGGGCUGCGCUCAGGAGGCGGGCCCUGGGAGGCGGAGCUUAGGGAGGGGCCGGUGUCGGGAGGGACCCAGGGACUGGGAGGCCGGUCGGGGCUGGGCUCAGGGGCCGAGACCUAGCUGGGCUUGGGGCGGGGCUGAGAGGGAGCGAGGGGUCCAGGAUCCAGGGAAACGGGGAGGGGUUUGAGGAGGGGAUCGGAAUGUGGCUCAAUUUCGGGAGGCGUUACCUGCGGAGGGUUUGAGGCAGGCCUAGGAGCGAGCCCACGGUCUGCUGACGCGGGGCCAGGGUCGGGCCCCAGGAUCCGGAGCUUCGGUCGGAGCCGAGUCCGGGUUUGGGGCCCGGGAGGCGGGGCCAGUUAGGGUGAGGGUCCCUGGGAUCGACGGGUCAGGCCUUGGGCUAACGUAGGCACUCGCAGUUCCUCCGCCUUCAGGAAGGUCUUUUUAGCAGGGGCCUUACGGGUGCGCGCUUCGGUCCUGGAGGCCUUAACCUAGCCUCUUCUACGUCAGCGCCACCCGUCUGGGGCCCGAAACGAGGGAGCUUUCCCUCUGUCCCCCAGCCUUUGGACUAUCACCAAACAAGCCAUUCGUUCAUCAAAUACUUAUUAAGUGCCUACCAUGUGCCUGACAAGGGAGAUGUAACGGUGCGAAAAACUGGGUGUGGUCCAGGCCCUCCAGGGGCUCAGGGGCUCGUGGAAGAAGUGGACAUUGAAGUACUUAUCACACAAAUGAGGAUAAAAGUGCGAUAGCGAUAUCUGCCACGAAGGUGAGCAGACAGAGCUAGCGGGGCUUGCAGGAGGAGUUUUGAUCUUGCAGGGACAGGAAGGAGGAGUUAGCUCGUGCGGGGUGGGAUUGGGGGUGGUGGUGAUAUAGACGUGGGGACAGAGUGGAAAACAACAAAAAUAUAAUUAUUUUAGUUCAAAGUUAUUGUGUCUUGAGUUGAAAGGCAGGGCAGUUAGCAACACAGUUCAGAUUUCAGUACUGCCCCUGAAAUCUGAACUGUGUUCAAAGUCUAAAACUUUUACCUUAGCAAAUUCCUCAUAAAACUCCAUUUGGAAGAGUCCCGAG
rnacentral:lncRNA from 1 species